GCACUUGUUGACGGAGUUUUAUGUAACCAUACACAAAGCUGUAUACAAUGUUUAAUCCUUAGUCUUCAUGUCGAUAAUUUCAAAAUACAAAAUAUGAAAUUUAAUAUUUUAUUCAACUUCUUUUCAAAAAAAAAUAAAAUAAAACCCUGCUGCCUGCACCAUUUUUUUCUCCACCACCGGAUAAAAUAAGGAAAAGGAAAAAUAAUACGUUGAAAACUCCUACAGAAGAAGAACAAGAAGAAGAAGAGAGGCAAACAGAGACGUAAAGUAAAACAAAAAUGAACACCUGUCCCUAAUCGGAAAGUUGUAACUGCUCGUUCAGCCAUAAAUGGGUUUGCAUCUUUUUUAAUUAUCAAUUGCAACGGUUUUUUAUUUUUACACAACAAUUUCCAUCAUCAUUUAAUUAAGAAAAUAUCCUUUUUCUCUUAAAUUAAUAUAAAUUAAGAAAAAAUACGAUCGCUUUUCUUUUUUUUUUGGUUUGAAAAUUAAUUUUCCAACAAAUUUUGCUGACGAGCAGUAAAAAUGUAAAAUAUUUCUGCUAAAUUGUAUGUCUGUCUCUUUUGUACACCUUCAAAGGAAACUGGUUUAGGACUUUUGGUAUGAUAUACGCCAGACAGAGAUCGAACAUACAAAACAAUCAAACUGAGCCGAGAUCGAGUGAGAGCCUAGAGUUCGAGUUGAAAAAUGAAAAAUUCAAAAUGGUGAAAUUGUCGUCAGGAGGAAUAAAAUAAAAUUGUUGUACAAAAGAUGAAAUUAUUGUCCCUGUUUUAUUUUUAAUAACUAACGACUUACCUUCAACCCUACAAAUAAUCCCAAUUAAGAAAAAUAUGUGCUUUUGACAAGAAUUGAAAUAUCCCAAAAAUUCCAUUGCGAUAGUGAGCAAUACCGAAUUCGUUCAAUUAGUUGCCGAUGAAAUUUGAGUAAUAUUUUGACAUUUUUACUGCCGGUUGUACAAAUGUCAGCAUUGACAUUUUGUUCCCUUCACCGCCUACUCACCGAAUUCCGUGAUUGAGACUUAAAACAAUAAAGAUCAAUUUAUGGCGGAUUAACAUUAUUCUGUACUUUAAAAUCUGGAAACAAAACAAGGCUGCCCAACAACAGUUGGAUAGAGAUAUAAAACCAAAAACGCAAAGGUCUUCACCAACGCAAAUUAUAGGAAGUGCCAUAAUGCAGAUAAGCGGACGAAAUGUUGUUGCAGUCACUCUUCAAAACAUUUGGUUUUUUGGCAUUCAUCUAUACCGUUUUACCAUUCUUCAAUAUUGCAGAAAUGCAGAAACUUGUAAAUUCACCAAUAUAUUUCAUUUUCCUAUAAUUUGAUACUUUCUUGCUAUCCAUAAAAAAUAUUUACUUUUAAAAUGGUGACAGUUUAAAAUGCUGUUGCCAUUUUGGGAAAACCGUAUUUUUUAAAUAUGUUUCUUUGUUAAUAAUUUAAUUCAAAAUAUUUACAUAUGUUUUUAGGUACAUACAUUUUGCCAUGUUUUUUAGGAUAUCAAUUAAUUUUAUUUAUAAGGUUUAUGCUAAAAUCAUUUUGAAGAAAGGCACUUAGAAUGAAAACUAAAAGAAAUCGAAUGAGUGCCAGAAAUUUGAAGAUUCCAAUUGUCCACAGAAGGUGAAUUUAUCCUAACAUAUCAAAAGUUCAAAAAUGAAAAGUUGCUGGAAAAUCAGUAAAUUUGUGUCAAAGAGUAAUCGUGGUUUUAGAUGGACUUUAUUCUUAUUUUUAUGCGUUUUCUUUUUUAGUUCUGAAAAGAGUUCGAACUAUCAGAGUUAAAGAUUCGAAAAUUUCAAUUCCACUGUUAUUUUUUGAUAUUUCUACUUUGCUGACGGAACGGUCGUUAUUCUAAAGAGAUGACUUUAGUAUCAAAAUAUCAAG